AGUGAACGCUGGCGGUAGGCCUAACACAUGCAAGUCGAACGGCAGCACAGUAAGAGCUUGCUCUUACGGGUGGCGAGUGGCGGACGGGUGAGGAAUACAUCGGAAUCUCCUUUUUCGUGGGGGAUAACGUAGGGAAACUUACGCUAAUACCGCAUACGACCUACGGGUGAAAGCAGGGGAUCUUCGGACCUUGCGCGAUUGAAUGAGCCGAUGUCGGAUUAGCUAGUUGGCGGGGUAAAGGCCCACCAAGGCGACGAUCCGUAGCUGGUCUGAGAGGAUGAUCAGCCACACUGGAACUGAGACACGGUCCAGACUCCUACGGGAGGCAGCAGUGGGGAAUAUUGGACAAUGGGCGCAAGCCUGAUCCAGCCAUACCGCGUGGGUGAAGAAGGCCUUCGGGUUGUAAAGCCCUUUUGUUGGGAAAGAAAAGCAGCAGGUUAAUACCCCGCUGUUCUGACGGUACCCAAAGAAUAAGCACCGGCUAACUUCGU
rnacentral:rRNA from 1 species